CUAGCUAANGCCGGUGAAAGCCGGUGUCCAGCAAUGGGAGCUAGUACAGAUGCUGCAUGGCUGUCGUCAGCUCGUGCCGUGAGGUGUGGGGUUAAGUCCCGCAACGAGCGCAACCCCUGUUUCUAGUUGCCACCGGGUAAUGCCGAGCACUCUAGAAAGACUGCCUACGCAAGUAGUGAGGAAGGUGGGGAUGACGUCAAGUCCGCAUGGCUCUUACGCCUAGGGCCACACACGUGCUACAAUGGCCACUACAAAGGGCUGCAAUACCGCGAGGUGGAGCUAAUCCCUAAAAAGUGGUCUCAGUUCGGAUUGGAGUCUGAAACUCGACUCCCAUGAAGCUGGAAUUGCUAGUAAUCGCGCAUCARCACGGCGCGGUGAAUACGUUC
rnacentral:rRNA from 1 species